CCAAAAACAAAACAAAAUAAAAGUCAGUCUACUCUUGCUGACUACUGGGUUAGUAACCUCCCCAGACACUUGCUUCUAUAGUGUGCCUGCUAGGGACACUCAAGGCCGCCCAGCGAGGUGUGUGUCACCUUUGCUUUAUGCAGAUUUACCUUAGAUAUUUUAGAUACCCUUCCCAGGUCCCAUGCUACCAGCAAGCACGGGGCCAGUGUCUGGCUCCAGCCUCUGUGCAAGUCCUUGGGGCUAUCUUGACUUUUGGAGGAGAACAGGAGAGAACAACGUGACACGACUGCUGCCCACCACAGUCUGGGAGUAGACCCUUCAUCCUUGCUCUAAGCUGACGUGCAUGCCAUGUCUAUGCUCCUCACAGCGAAAUGCUGUGGAGCCACGGGAAAGGUCAGGCCUUCUGAGCCAGAAAUAACCAGAAAAUCCUUUGGCUUAUUCUAAAUUGUGUAAGUUAAAUUUCCUGCCUUAACAAGUACUAGUCAGUCACACACUAAGUUCCUACUUGCUGAUUUGAUGCAGUUCAAGGGUACUCAGUGAAGUAGCCUUUGUGGAGGGGUGGGACUCUGGGUAGAGGACUGGCCCUGUGAGACUCUCUUCUGAUUGCCUAAUGUCUUCUCCUUGUGCCUUCCUCCAGGGAAGGUGGACACCCAGGCCUAGGAGGCCCAGGGACUGAGAGGAGGUCCGCCUUGGGGAGACUGAGUGGUCUAGGCAAGGGCCUGAGAAAGGCAGGAAUAGAAUGACUAUGGCAGCCCUGUUGAUGAUAACAGAGAAGAACCCACUGUGAUAGCAGCUAACAUUUCUAUGUUCAAUCACUGCACAAGCUUUUAAAAGCCUUUUGUUUAUUAAACCAUUAAACAAUGUGCUACAGAAUGAUUUUCUUUAACACAAUCAGACAUCUACAAAGAAGCGCCAAUUAGUUGUCAUUCAUAAGACAACAGCAGCAUGGUGUCACAGGCGGCAGAAGCUCAGUGCUCUAAAGGCAUCGUUUUGCCUGGUGCCAAAGAGGCACAAGCUCACACAAAAGGACCAAGUGCACUACACCUGCAAGUUGUCUCCUCACUAGACCCUGCUGAAGGCUAGCUGUUACAGGAACCCCAGGGUGGGAAAUCUCAGAGGCAGGAGAGAUUCCCCGACUGAGGAGGAGCUGCGUUCCACUUAAAUUCAAACUAAACAGCUGCAGACCACUUUCUGAGCAGCUUGCCUCAUGUACAAAACUUCCGGACUUGGAUGCUCCUUCUAUAUCCACCCUGUCUGGUCAACUCCGUUUUCUCUAUCACCAUUCACCCUUCUUCCCUGAGAAAGAA